rnacentral:rRNA from 1 species
AUUGAACGCUGGCGGCAGGCCUAACACAUGCAAGUCGAACGGUAACAGGGAUCAGCUUGCUGAUUCGCUGACGAGUGGCGGACGGGUGAGUAAUGUCUGGGAAACUUCCUGAUGGAGGGGGAUAACUACUGGAAACGGUAGCUAAUACCGCAUAACGUCGCAAGACCAAAGAGGGGGACCUUCCGGCCUCUUGCCAUCGGAUGUGCCCAGAUGGGAUUAGCUAGUAGGUGGGGUAACGGCUCACCUAGGCGACGAUCCCUAGCUGGUCUGAGAGGAUGACCAGCCACACUGGAACUGAGACACGGUCCAGACUCCUACGGGAGGCAGCAGUGGGGAAUAUUGCACAAUGGGCGCAAGCCUGAUGCAGCCAUGCCGCGUGUAUGAAGAAGGCCUUCGGGUUGUAAAGUACUUUCAGCGGGGAGGAAGGGAGUAAAGUUAAUACCGUUGCUCAUUGACGUUACCCGCAGAAGAAGCACCGGCUAACUCCGUG